GACAUAAUCAGUGGACCUUCCCCAUAUGCCACAUGCGUCUAUUAAAAAAAAAAUGUUUUCCCUAAAGACAGCCCUGACCAACUUUAAAAUCAUUUUUCGUGAGAAUUUUCAGCUGAAAAUAUUCAAGGACACCCAAAUUGUGAGUAAUAUAUUUAUUUUUAUAAUAUUCAUUGCAAAUUGAUUAUUUAAAUGGAAUUCAAAAUAUUGUGGUGUGUGGGGAUGGCUUCCAUUUUGGACACAUUGCAGUUAACUGACCAAGUUAGCAAUUAU